CACAUAAACCCAUUAACUGUGUGAAGCCACAUCUGCAUGAAAGAACACCUGACCUCUGCUGCAGGAUGGGUGAUUUAUAAACACAAUAACAACAAGAGGAGAAGCAGCAGCAACAGCAGGGAUCUGAAUCCAUGUCUCCCUGACCCAAAUCCAACAUUCAAUCUCUUACACAGAGUUUCAAAAAGGGAAUGCAGAAUCCGUGGGGCCACAGCAAACCCUAGGCAAAAGGACAGUGUGUGCUGCACAGGACACCAGAUUCCACAGCACAUCCAACCAGUCUAUAGCUACAAGAAGAAAUAUCCCUCUGCAAAAGAAAGAUGCUCGGGAGUAAUUUGCCAAUGGAUACUUUUUGAAAUUUUCCCUUUGGAAAAAAUAAAAAUUCUGUGCAUGCUCAGAGGCAUCCAGGUCCAUAAGUUUUAGAAACCAAAAUAUGGCAACCUAAGGACAAAUCAUACGAGCUUCAAGAUGUACAUGUCCUUAUUCUACAACAGGAGUUGUUGGGAGGUUGUUUGUUUUUACCUCUGUGGAAUAGAUUUCACCCACAGAACAGCUCAUUUGGAUGCAGUUAUGUUCUUUGAAUAUGUUCCUGGUCAGGAUACUUGAAAAACAAAUUAGCUGCUCAGUAUAUGAAAGCCUACUUCUAUAUGCAGAACCAGCAGUAUGAGUCACAACCCAGAGUAUCAACUGCUUACCCCAAAUCUUUAGGGACCUCCCCCUGCCAUAAUAAUGGAUUGCUCUAAACUGGCUUUCUAUCACUUGAGUGGAUAAAGUGCUUUAUGUUAGUUAUCUCAGCCAUCCAUACAAUAGUCCUGCAAGGGAGGCUAUGAUGAUUGCUAACAUAUCAGUUGAGAAAACUAAAGCUGAAAGAACACUGGCUCUUUAUUCCAAGGCUACCCAGUGAAUACACUGUUGAGCAAAAACAUAAACAAAGAUCUAUGUAAAAUAUUUUGUCUACAGGACAAUUUACCUGUCUGGGACCCAAAUAUGUGAAAGAGAUGCAUCUCUGUAUAGCAGGCUAUUCAGUUCUUAUGAUCUACUUCGUGUCAUCUCACCAAUAGGUCCAGCCCAACGGGUGUGAUACGGAAGAGGGCCUUCUCUGUAGUGGCACCCUAUUUAUUAAACUCCCUCCCUGUGCAGGUACAUACAACAUAAUCACUGCUGGGGUUUCAGGACCAAGACCCAAUUCUUCA